AGUGAACGCUGGCGGUAGGCCUAACACAUGCAAGUCGAACGGCAGCACAGUAAGAGCUUGCUCUUACGGGUGGCGAGUGGCGGACGGGUGAGGAAUACAUCGGAAUCUACUUUUUCGUGGGGGAUAACGUAGGGAAACUUACGCUAAUACCGCAUACGACCUACGGGUGAAAGCAGGGGAUCUUCGGACCUUGCGCGAUUGAAUGAGCCGAUGUCGGAUUAGCUAGUUGGCGGGGUAAAGGCCCACCAAGGCGACGAUCCGUAGCUGGUCUGAGAGGAUGAUCGGCAACACUGGAACUGAGACACGGUCCAGACUCCUACGGGAGGUAGCAGUGGGGAAUAUUGGACAAUGGGCGCAAGCCUGAUCCAGCCAUACCGCGUGGGUGAAGAAGGCCUUCGGGUUGUAAAGCCCUUUUGUUGGGAAAGAAAAGCAGCAGGUUAAUACCCCGCUGUUCUGACGGUACCCAAAGAAUAAGCACCGGCUAACUUCGUG
rnacentral:rRNA from 1 species